rnacentral:rRNA from 1 species
GACGGAACGGCUGGGCGGCGUGCCUAACCACGAUCGCGAAGUCGAACGAAGCUUGACUACGGACUCCUUCGGACGAAGUAAGAGUAUGACUAGAGUGGCGGACGGGUGAGUAACGCGUGAGUAACCUGCCUUUCAGAGGGGAAUAGCGUUUGGAAACGAACGGUAAUACCGCAUAACGUAUGAGUGCCGCAUGACACACAUACCAAAGAUUUUAUCGCUGAAAGAUGGACUCGCGUUGGAUUAGAUAGUUGGUGAGGUAACGGCUCACCAAGUCGACGAUCCAUAGCCGGACUGAGAGGUUGAUCGGCCACAUUGGGACUGAGACACGGCCCAA